rnacentral:rRNA from 1 species
AGAGUUUGAUCCUGGCUCAGGAUGAACGCUGGCGGCGUGCCUAAUACAUGCAAGUCGAGCGAACGGACGAGAAGCUUGCUUCUCUGAUGUUAGCGGCGGACGGGUGAGUAACACGUGGAUAACCUACCUAUAAGACUGGGAUAACUUCGGGAAACCGGAGCUAUAAUACCGGAUAAUAUUUUGAACCGCAUGGUUCAAAAGUGAAAGACGGUCUUGCUGUCACUUAUAGAUGGAUCCGCGCUGCAUUAGCUAGUUGGUAAGGUAACGGCUUACCAAGGCAACGAUGCAUAGCCGACCUGAGAGGGUGAUCGGCCACACUGGAACUGAGACACGGUCCAGACUCCUACGGGAGGCAGCAGUAGGGAAUCUUCCGCAAUGGGCGAAAGCCUGACGGAGCAACGCCGCGUGAGUGAUGAAGGUCUUCGGAUCGUAAAACUCUGUUAUUAGGGAAGAACAUAUGUGUAAGUAACUGUGCACAUCUUGACGGUACCUAAUCAGAAAGCCACGGCUAACUACGUGCCAGCAGCCGCGGUAAUACGUAGGUGGCAAGCGUUAUCCGGAAUUAUUGGGCGUAAAGCGCGCGUAGGCGGUUUUUUAAGUCUGAUGUGAAAGCCCACGGCUCAACCGUGGAGGGUCAUUGGAAACUGGAAAACUUGAGUGCAGAAGAGGAAAGUGGAAUUCCAUGUGUAGCGGUGAAAUGCGCAGAGAUAUGGAGGAACACCAGUGGCGAAGGCGACUUUCUGGUCUGUAACUGACGCUGAUGUGCGAAAGCGUGGGGAUCAAACAGGAUUAGAUACCCUGGUAGUCCACGCCGUAAACGAUGAGUGCUAAGUGUUAGGGGGUUUCCGCCCCUUAGUGCUGCAGCUAACGCAUUAAGCACUCCGCCUGGGGAGUACGACCGCAAGGUUGAAACUCAAAGGAAUUGACGGGGACCCGCACAAGCGGUGGAGCAUGUGGUUUAAUUCGAAGCAACGCGAAGAACCUUACCAAAUCUUGACAUCCUUUGACAACUCUAGAGAUAGAGCCUUCCCCUUCGGGGGACAAAGUGACAGGUGGUGCAUGGUUGUCGUCAGCUCGUGUCGUGAGAUGUUGGGUUAAGUCCCGCAACGAGCGCAACCCUUAAGCUUAGUUGCCAUCAUUAAGUUGGGCACUCUAAGUUGACUGCCGGUGACAAACCGGAGGAAGGUGGGGAUGACGUCAAAUCAUCAUGCCCCUUAUGAUUUGGGCUACACACGUGCUACAAUGGACAAUACAAAGGGCAGCGAAACCGCGAGGUCAAGCAAAUCCCAUAAAGUUGUUCUCAGUUCGGAUUGUAGUCUGCAACUCGACUACAUGAAGCUGGAAUCGCUAGUAAUCGUAGAUCAGCAUGCUACGGUGAAUACGUUCCCGGGUCUUGUACACACCGCCCGUCACACCACGAGAGUUUGUAACACCCGAAGCCGGUGGAGUAACCUUUUAGGAGCUAGCCGUCGAAGGUGGGACAAAUGAUUGGGGUGAAGUCGUAACAAGGUAGCCGUAUCGGAAGGUGCGGCUG